UUCCCUAACAAACGUGUCACGUGAUUUUGUUCAUAUUUUGACAUAAAGUCACGACUUAUUUGGGUUCACAUAUUAGCACCAAUCGACAAAACGACAUAAUUAUAUCGUCAGAAUCGAUAAAACGACCGUGACAAAAUUUUAUUGUGUUGCGCAUCUUAGCCCUACAGAAAAACGCUUGAGGUUUUAACUAAAGCGACCUUAUGUAGGUAGGCAAAAAUCUCUGUUAAAAUACUUUUGAAAUACUUACCGAUCUUCUGACAGUACUUAUCAAAAAUUCUCACAAGUUUGUCACUGUCAAAAAUUAUCCGUUUACCUUCGUAAUUUUAGUAAUUAUUUAAAAUUCACCGUACUUUUACAAUGGACACACCACAGCAUAGUUUAUCUCGAGCAAACAGUGCCACUUCUACUGAAAGCGGCAAAGUUUUCGACAAAUAUAAAUCUUGGUAUAAAGUCGAUAUUGAUGGCGCGUAUAUUACGAAGAACUAUGAUGCAACUUGGACCGCACCGAAAAGGAAAAAACCACACAGGAUUCGCAAGAAGAUCGUCGUGCAGAAUUUACCAUACAACAAGGAACAAGCGAAAGAAAAAAUACUGUAUGGAAAACCAAAAGACACCGUACUCAACCACAAAGUUAUACUCGAUUUUGCCGUUCAAUUAUUCGUCGUAUUAAUCUUCAUACUAAUGACUUACUGUGGUUAUGUGUACAUAGUACCAUUUGAUCCUUUAUUAUUCACCCAAGACUAUCUAAACAGCAAUAGUUAUGACGGAAUUUAUUAAUUUAGUCCGACAAUGUUCAAUAUAAUUCUAGUCAAUAAUAUAAUUAUUGUAGCAUCCCACCUGUAUCCUGUGUCUACCCCGACAGAGGUGAAUAGUACACCCACUCACAGACAGACAUAAGACACAGAAAGACACAGGACACAGACAGACACAUGACAUGGACAAGCACAAGACAUGUACAGACACACAACACAGAUAGACACAUGACACGAACAGGCCCAGGAUACAGACAGACACAUACAGACACACGACACAGAUAGACACAUACCGUAGGAUCGUAGUAAGUGGAAUACCGGGGUCUCUGCCUACACCAAUCGAAAAAAGGCGUGACGUGAGUGAAGUAUUGCAAUGCACCUUCACGCAUCCUAUUCCUGCCUCUGCCCACCCUUAUAAGAAUCAUGGGCGUGUAUUUAUUAACUUAUGUACUUACUUCCUUCGUUUAUUAUAUUAAUAUCAGGUCACUGCGUUGAUUUAACACAGUUCAUAAAGGACAAAAGUAAGUAAAUUACUUUUUGCGUUUUUAGAUUUUUACAAAUAAAGCUUUUGUAAAGUAAGAAAUCGAAAUAAAACAAAUAAUGUUGUUAUUUAAUAUAAAUGUUAACUUUAUUUAUUGUCAACAGCUUUAGGUAUAUGUUUAGUGUAAAUAAAUGAAUAAUGAGAAAUAAAAAAUCCAAAAAAAAAUAAACAGUUUAAAAUAGUGUCAUUUUCUUUUUCAUACUAAAAGCCAUAUUUUUUCUAUAAAAUUUUUUGGCGGGAACGGGACAGUUGCUUUCUUCAUUGAAUAAUCUAAAUAAUUAAUACGAAGUGGUGUUUUGUGGUUAAUGAUCGCAUUAAGUUAGUCGGAAGACAUUCGCGAGUGUUAUUAUGUCGGAGUGUUCAAUAAACAAAGUGUAUCAGCCUAUUUUCGCUUCGUAGCAGGAAGCCGCUUCAUUACUCGAAAGUUUAUGCGGACUUUUGAGUUAAUUCGUUUGGGGUUUGGAGUAGGAGUCUACUCCAAGGGUGGGGGCUUAGGUUUCAUCAUCAUCACCUUUCAUGAUUUCAUUAAUCAUCAAGAAAAAAAAAGUAAGACAUGGCUGUAUGGGCAUAGUUCCCUUUGGCUUACCCUUCGGGAAAAAAAAAAACUAUAAACAUUUGAAUGAGGGAAUUUCCAGGCUACUUUCACCAUAAUAUAGAUGGCGUUAUUGUACAACUUUAACGUGAU